AAUGUUCUCCCUAAAGGUCUUUGUGCUGUUGGCAGCUGUACACAGUAUUUAUUCACAGGUUGUGCUCACACAGUCUGAACAGUCAGUAACUGUGUCUCCAGGUGCUUCCUACAAACUGACCUGUGCCUGCAGUGGAUUCACUCUUAGUAGCUAUAGGAUGCACUGGAUCCGUCAGGCCCCUGGAAAAGGACUGGAAUGGAUCUUACACUAUUAUACAGACUCUAGCAAAGGCUCCGCUCAGUCGGUGCAGGACAGAUUCAUGGCAUCCACGGACAGCUCUAAUUUCUAUCUGCACAUGAGUCAGUUAAAGACUGAAGACACUGCAGUGUAUUACUGUGCAAGAGACUCACUUUGCUUGUUUUCAUACAGAUACCCUUACAAAAACACAUGA